GUGUCAUCCAUCGAGACAACACACACAGAAUGCAAGCGUGACUCUUGAGGAGAAGUGUUUGGAUGAAGUGUUUCCUGACAGAAGUGCUGGGGUGUGAACAGUGUGCAGGAACUACGAACACAUCGUCCAGUUUCUGCAAAGUGAAACCGAAGCAGACCACAUCCUGUGUUCACAAACCAGUAAAUGUGACUCUUGAAACUUUAGAUUGUAUUGUGAAGCCGGGACUGAAGCGGUUUGAGAUUUGAUGCCGUCUGUUGGUCAA